AAGUGGAUUAGUGGCGCACGGGUGAGUAAUGCAUACCGUUAUGUGCCCUUUAGUCUGGGAUAGCCACUGGAACGGUGAUUAAUACUGGAUACUCCCUACGGGGGAAAGUUUUUCGCUUAUUUUAUCAGGCUAUGUCCUAUCAGCUUGUCGGUGAGGUAAUGGCUCACCAAGGCUAUGACGGGUAUCCGGCCUGAGAGGGUGAUCGGACACACUGGAACUGAGACACGGUCCAGACUCCUACGGGAGGCAGCAGUAGGGAAUAUUGCUCAAUGGGGGAAACCCUGAAGCAGCAACGCCGCGUGGAGGAUGAAGGUUUUAGGAUUGUAAACUCCUUUUGUAAGAGAAGAUUAUGACGGUAUCUUACGAAUAAGCACCGGCUAACUCCGUGCCAGCAGCCGCGGUAAUACGGAGGGUGCAAGCGUUACUCGGAAUCACUGGGCGUAAAGAGCGCGUAGGCGGGAAGGUAAGUCAGAUGUGAAAUCCUGUAGCUUAACUACAGAACUGCAUUUGAAACUACUUUUCUAGAGUAUGGGAGAGGUAGGUGGAAUUCUUGGUGUAGGGGUAAAAUCCGUAGAGAUCAAGAGGAAUACUCAUUGCGAAGGCGACCUGCUGGAACAUUACUGACGCUGAUGCGCGAAAGCGUGGGGAGCAAACAGGAUUAGAUACCCUGGUAGUCCACGCCCUAAACGAUGAAUGCUAGUUGUUGCCCUGCUUGUCAGGGCAGUAAUGCAGCUAACGCAUUAAGCAUUCCGCCUGGGGAGUACGGUCGCAAGAUUAAAACUCAAAGGAAUAGACGGGGACCCGCACAAGCGGUGGAGCAUGUGGUUUAAUUCGAAGAUACGCGAAGAACCUUACCUAGGCUUGACAUUGAUAGAAUCUGCUAGAGAUAGCGGAGUGUCUAGCUUGCUAGACCUUGAAAACAGGUGCUGCACGGCUGUCGUCAGCUCGUGUCGUGAGAUGUUGGGUUAAGUCCCGCAACGAGCGCAACCCUCGUCCUUAGUUGCUAGCAGUUCGGCUGAGCACUCUAAGGAGACUGCCUUCGUAAGGAGGAGGAAGGUGAGGACGACGUCAAGUCAUCAUGGCCCUUACGCCUAGGGCUACACACGUGCUACAAUGGGGCAUACAAUGAGAAGCAAUACCGCGAGGUGGAGCCAAUCUCUAAAAUGUCUCUCAGUUCGGAUUGUAGUCUGCAACUCGACUACAUGAAGCUGGAAUCGCUAGUAAUCGUGAAUCAGCAAUGUCACGGUGAAUACGUUCCCGGGUCUUGUACUCACCGCCCGUCACACCAUGGGAGUUGUAUUCGCCUUAAGUCGGGAUACUAAAUUGGUUACCGCCCACGGCGGAUGCAGCGACUGGGGUGAAGUCGUAACAAGGUA
rnacentral:rRNA from 1 species